rnacentral:lncRNA from 1 species
AAGUACUGUUCAUCCGUGCUAUUUUUGCAGAAGUGUGCCAGAUGAUUUCUUGAUGUGCCGGGGUCGACUCAAUCAAUCUUGGGGUCGACUCAAUCCACACUUUGCUGCAACUUAAGGUUAGAUUCAUCCAUAUAAUCAAUGAAAUAAACUUUAAACAAUUUUGAAUAUAUGUCAUGGUAGUGCUACAUACUCCAAACAAUGAAAAUUACUAUUGUCCACUUAAGAGUAUGUUUUACUUGAAACUUUGCCGAAUUAGAAUUUAGAGUUCACUAUCCCUUUCCUAUCGCAAAUUUUAUCUCAUUAAUAAUCAUUGAAAUACAUCUUAAUCUCAUUAUACUAAUGUAUCGAGAGUGACGGACUUAUUAAUGAUGUAUCGAAUUAACUUGUAACA